rnacentral:rRNA from 1 species
UACGUAGGGUGCAAGCGUUGUCCGGAAUUACUGGGCGUAAAGAGCUCGUAGGUGGUUUGUCACGUCGUCUGUGAAAUUCCACAGCUUAACUGUGGGCGUGCAGGCGAUACGGGCUGACUUGAGUACUGUAGGGGUAACUGGAAUUCCUGGUGUAGCGGUGAAAUGCGCAGAUAUCAGGAGGAACACCGAUGGCGAAGGCAGGUUACUGGGCAGUCACUGACGCUGAGGAGCGAAAGCAUGGGUA